GCUGCUGAUGGCCGAGAGGUUAAGGCGUUGGACUUGAAACCCAAUGGGGUCUCCCGUCUGCCUUAGGUUCGAACCCUGCUCACAGCG